UGGGGAAUAUUGCACAAUGGAGGGAACUCUGAUGCAGCGACGCCGCGUGAACGAAGAAGGCUUUCGAGUCGUAAAGUUCUUUUAUAUGGGAAGAUAAUGACGGUACCAUAAGAAGAAGCCCCGGCUAACUACGUGCCAGCAGCCGCGGUAAUACGUAGGGGGCUAGCGUUGUCCGGAAUCACUGGGCGUAAAGGGUUCGCAGGCGGAAAUGCAAGUCAGGUGUAAAAGGCAGUAGCUUAACUUCUGUAAGCAUUUGAAACUGCAUAUCUUGAGAAGAGUAGAGGUAAGUGGAAUUUUUAGUGUAGCGGUGAAAUGCGUAGAUAUUAAAAAGAAUACCGGUGGCGAAGGCGACUUACUGGGCUCAUUCUGACGCUGAGGAACGAAAGCGUGGGUAGCAAACAGG
rnacentral:rRNA from 1 species